rnacentral:rRNA from 1 species
GCCAGCAGCCAUGUCACCCUGCAACACACACUGAAGCUAAGCAGGUGUGAGUCUGGUCAGUACCUGGAUAGGAGACCUCCUGGGAAAAACUAAGGUUGCUGUUG